AGCGAGGCUAGAGUCACACCUUGACAUUGCUUUGUUGUUCUGGUGUGCUUGAGCACUCGCAGAGUAAAUGUCUCUGCAUAUUCAUUGGCUGUGGUCUUUAGUGGCUCAGCCAAUCACCAGCUUAGACACAUGA